rnacentral:misc_RNA from 1 species
UUAAUAGUGGGAAAUUAGAACCUCUAGCUCUGAAAUGUGUUUUUGUUGAUUAUUCUAGUACUCAGAAAUGAUAUAGGUGUUAUCAUCCUCCUUAACGAAAAUAUUUUGUGAGUAUGAACGUUACCUUCAGGGAAUCUGAAUUUUAUUUCCAUCCACCUCUUCAGAGGCGGCAUAGGAAGGAAGAGGUGUAUUUUCCUUCAUCCUCAUCCUCUCCCAACCUUCAAUUUCAGGGGGAGAAUCUGGGUUUAGAGCCUAUAUCUAACAAUGAAACUCAGGGAGAGUCACCUAAAUCUCAAGAAAGACUGAAAAGGCCAGAUUUAAAAACAUAUACUCGACAAAAAAAGACAGAUAUAGCCAUCGAGCAGAAGACUGCUGAUCAACUGGAAUCCUUGGAUUCAAUUCCUGGAUAUCUUGAGGAUUGGAAGAAAGCUUGCCUCGAUCCAAAAUGGAGGGCAGCUAUGGUGGAGGAGAUGAAAGCUUUGACAAAGAAUGAGAUAUGGAAACUGGUUACUCUCCCACUUGAAAAGAAGCCAGUUGGAUGCAAGGAGGUGUUCACUGUGAACCAUAGAGCAGAUGGUUCAAGUGAGAGGUAUAAGGUCAGAUU